rfam:Apaloderma vittatum contig89024, whole genome shotgun sequence.
GGCCGGUUAGCUCAGUGGGUUGAGCGUGAUGCUGAUAACAACAACACCAAGGUCGCGGGUUCGGUUCCCGCUCAGUCUC